UACAGAGGGGGCAAGCGUUGUUCGGAUUCAUUGGGCGUAAAGGGUGUGUAGGUGGCGCGCUAAGUCGGGUGUGAAAUUUCGGAGCUUAACUCCGAAACUGCAUUCGAUACUGGCGUGCUUGAGGACUGGAGAGGAGACUGGAAUUCAUGGUGUAGCAGUGAAAUGCGUAGAGAUCGUAAGGAAGACCAGUGGCGAAGGCGGGUCUCUGGACAGUUCCUGACACUGAGGCACGAAGGCCAGGGGAGCAAACGGG
rnacentral:rRNA from 1 species